rnacentral:rRNA from 1 species
UACGGGGGGGGCAAGCGUUGUUCGGAAUUACUGGGCGUAAAGGGCGCGUAGGCGGCCUGCUAAGUCGGAUGUGAAAACUCUGGGCUCAACCCAGAGCCUGCAUUCGAUACUGACGGGCUAGAGUACUGGAGGGGAAAGCGGAAUUCCUGGUGUAGCGGUGAAAUGCGUAGAUAUCAGGAGGAACACCGGUGGCGAAGGCGGCUUUCUGGACAGUAACUGACGCUGAGGCGCGAAAGCUAGGGGAGCAAACAGG